UUCGUGCACUUUUCAAUAGAAUCACAGAUCGAUUUUUUUAUUGGUCACGUGAUUUGAGUUUAGGAGGUGAAACAUUCACUCGCUUCGAUUUAAAAAAUCAGUUUCGAUGGAGCAAUAGAGUUGACGACACUACAUAUACGUUCUAUGUGAUUACAAGUGGAUAUCUAUUUCGGAUUCUAACUUUUAGUGUUUGAGUAUAAUCGAGAGUGCUCAUUAGUCGAGAAUGUUCAGAAACGUUCCACUCCUAAUGGUAAUAGUGGUCCUUCUGCUAGGCUGCUGCAUUGACUGUUCGGAAAAGGAUAAUGGUGAUUGUUGUUGCGAUACACGAGACAAGUCAGUUCAUUGCUGCGUUGCCGGAGAUUUGUGCUGUACGACAGCAAAAAAAAAGAAUGUGCCUCCAACCAUCCUCCUGUUUUCAAAGUUCGACAGCGGCGCGGUGUUAACACCACAACGAGUACAGGUCGCACCUACAAACAAUGUUAUUUUAACGUCGUUUCGUGUUACUAAUAAAAUAUUUUAAUGUUUGAUCGCA